rnacentral:rRNA from 1 species
UACGUAGGGGGCAAGCGUUAUCCGGAUUUACUGGGUGUAAAGGGAGCGUAGACGGCUGUGCAAGUCUGAAGUGAAAGGCAUGGGCUCAACCUGUGGACUGCUUUGGAAACUGUGCAGCUAGAGUGUCGGAGAGGUAAGCGGAAUUCCUAGUGUAGCGGUGAAAUGCGUAGAUAUUAGGAGGAACACCAGUGGCGAAGGCGGCUUACUGGACGAUGACUGACGUUGAGGCUCGAAAGCGUGGGGAGCAAACAGG